rnacentral:rRNA from 1 species
GAGUUUGAUCGUGGCUCAGAUUGAACGCUGGCGGUAUGCUUAACACAUGCAAGUCGAACGGUAACAGGAGAGAGCUUGCUCUUUUGCUGACGAGUGGCGGACGGGUGAGUAAUGCGUAGGAAUCUGCCUAGUAGUGGGGGACAACGUGUGGAAACGCACGCUAAUACCGCAUACGCCCUACGGGGGAAAGCGGGGAGUCUUCGGACCUCGCGCUAUUAGAUGAGCCUACGUUAGAUUAGCUAGUUGGUGGGGUAAAGGCCUACCAAGGACGACGAUCUAUAGCUGGUCUGAGAGGAUGAUCAGCCACACUGGGACUGAGACACGGCCCAGACUCCUACGGGAGGCAGCAGUGGGGAAUAUUGGACAAUGGGCGAAAGCCUGAUCCAGCAAUACCGCGUGUGUGAAGAAGGCCUGAGGGUUGUAAAGCACUUUCAAUUGUGAAGAAUAUUUAAGGUUAAUAACCUUAAAUUUUGACGUUAACUUUAGAAGAAGCACCGGCUAACUCCGUGGCAGCAGCCGCAGU